GGGCGUGUAGUAUAGGGGUUAUUGCGCCCGCUUCGCAUUCUUGCCAUAUGCGGGAGGUCUGGAGUUCGAUUCUCCACUCGUCCA